UUAGUUAAAAUUUGUAAUUUUGAUAUAAUUUGCUCUAAAUCAGAAAUUAAAAGCCGCAAUCUCGGUCUAUUUCAUUAUAAUAUUAAGAAAGAGUGUUGUGAUAAUAAAUACGUGGUCAAGAUGAGUGAGUUGCGAAGAUAUUUGUUUCGUAUCUCAGUGAACUCUCAGCGAGCUUUAAGGAACCGUUUGCGAAGCAAAAGAAAAUUGUUGCGGGAAUCCACGGAUCCCUUCUGUAUUUCAGAGGAACGGUUCACUGAAAUUUUUCGACUUCCAAAAGAAAUAUGUAGAAAUGUUUUUAAUGAAAUCCGCCCCUUUAUGUUGCAAAGGACAUCAAGUUGUGGAUUGUCGAAAGUUUUAAGGUUCCUUGUAGCAUUGCGAAUUUUUCGCUCAAGGAAGCUAUCAACGUUCGGUGGGACAAGACUUCUUACUUAAUAUAUCCCAAAGCAGCGUCAGUAGAUACAUUAGAGAAUUUGCCAGUAUCAUGGACAAAUACUUGUUAACUACAUACAUUAAGUUUCCAUCAACAGUUGAAGAAAAACAGGCUAUUUUAUCAAGAGUUCAGAUUCCCUGGGGUCAUAGGAGCCAUUGACGGAUCGCAUAUUAAAUUAAAGACUCCAUCCAAAGACAUUGAACAUGUAUAUGUUUGCCGAAAAGGAGGACACUCAAUAAAUGUGCAAGUGGUAUGUGACAUGGAUUUAAGAAUACUUGACUGUGAUGCUCAUUUCGGCGGAACUGCUCACGAUGCAUCAGUUUGGAGAGCAAGUGCUUUGAAGGUUUUUCUUGACAAUAUGUACUCCAAUGGAGAACGAAAUUUUUGGCUUUUAGGUGACAGUGGAUAUCCUCAAUUACCUUAUUUAAUGACUCCUAUUCCGGGAAACAAUCUCUCAGAUUCUGAACAUAAUUACAACAGACAUCACCGGAAAGCAAGAAACUGUGUAGAACGCUGCUUUGGAGUGCUGAAAUCUAGAUUUCGAUGCCU